UACGGAGGGUGCGAGCGUUAAUCGGAAUCACUGGGCGUAAAGCGCGCGUAGGCGGUGCGCUAAGUCAGCUGUGAAAGCCCCGGGCUCAACCUGGGAAUGGCAGUUGAUACUGGCGCGCUGGAGUGUGAUAGAGGGUGGUGGAAUUCCCGGUGUAGCGGUGAAAUGCGUAGAGAUCGGGAGGAACACCAAUGGCGAAGGCAGCCACCUGGGUCAACACUGACGCUGAGGUGCGAAAGCGUGGGGAGCAAACAGG
rnacentral:rRNA from 1 species